AUCAACACCACGGUGAGAGCGUGUUGGAAUGUAGGCCCGUAACCCAAACAAGCAGAACGUACAUCUUACUUGUCGUCGGAGCUUCCUGCAUCAUUAAACGAUGCAGCCAGUAGGAUCAAUACAUUGAAUGUAUUGGCAAGAUUCACUAAGAGUUAUAUCAGAGCUUACCAAGUAUAUGCAUAAUGUGGCAAAGUGGGGUUCAAGGCUAUUUGCGUGGAAGCAGAACAUAAAUUACCCUACUACAAAGGAAUUUUAUAAUAAUGUUAACUAUUGGACACGGGGUAGACACACCCAUGCUCGUAUUAACCUAGAGCACAUUGAAGUGGAUUCUUCAAGUGCUCCUACCCUGUUCAAACCAUUCAUUUUAUUUAAGAAAUUGGAAUGAGCGAGACUUUCCUUACAGCUCCACAUCUAGUUGCUCAAAUUGUCCGUUGCCGGGGACACGGCUAAGUACUUAGUUUUGUCGCUCUCGAGAGUUUGUACACAUUCCCCACAAAAAACCGACGUGUUAAUCCCUUACUGUCCCCAGGGUAGAGUAGCAACGACAUCGAUUACGAGAUUUCAGAGGUAAUUCCCUAAACCACGAGAGAAUCACGCUCCCCCUACACGGCUACCUCAAUACAAUUCCUCGGGUCUAGGUUCAUACAACUUACUCUUGUCUCGCCAGAGCCCAUAUAGCAUUGUGGUUGUACUAGAAGCUUCUAAAUAGGAAACUAGUCUAGUCUCUGUUAUCCCAGGUGGCAUUCCACAUUUGCAACGUAGGCGCUCCCCGAAUCCACGGGAGAAACGUCCAUGGACGAUCCAUUCCUGAAUCCACAGGAACUCGAUUCAGAGGGACCCAUAGAAAUGGACCUGACGCCGCUAAUCCUCAAAAUCCUCAAAGCAGCCCACUCAGGAUGGUUCAUUGAAUUAGUUGUUUUGCCUUACAUCUAACAGAAACUUUUCAUAUAGCCAAAGGCAUAACAAUAUCAUAAUGUAGUUAUUUCCCCCACGAUACUACCAUAGCUUAGCAUUCAACUACAAUCGAUGGCAAUUUGGUAGCAAGGUAAUGGCGAGGGUAAACUAUACUACCUGAGAUUUAUAGCUAGCAUAGAGGUACGAGUAAUGGUCCUAUCAAUGCAUCUCUACCAACAACACUAAUGCAUAAGUAUUUUAAAACAACAACAAUAAUUGGAUAUGAUCAAAGUGAACUUGUGAAGCGAUCCUCUCCCUUCCUAGGGUUUGAUCUCUGUGCUUACUGUGCUAGUCUCUGGAUCGACUCACUAGCACACACAGUUUCAUGAUGAAGUAUACAGAAACAAAGGUCAAAAGUACUUUGUUACAUCGCAUCAUCCAGAAUUUAAAUAGUACUUACAACCUCGCAUGACCUCUGGGGCCAGCAUAAAACCAAUACUGUUUCAACAUCAUAAAACAAUGUUUCAAAAUACUGCAGCGGAAAAGGGUAGAACAUAAGGGCCACACUACUCCAAAGUGAGAACAUGUUGGAAUGUAGGCACAUGACCCAUGACAAAACGACGAACCUCACUCAUCGUCGGAUCCACCUGCAUUGUUAAUUGCAGCCACUACGUGGUCAAUACAUUUGAAUGUAUUGGCAAGUUCACUAGAGUUAUAAAGGACCUACCAAGUACAUGCAUAAUUUGGCUAAGUGGGGUUUGACUAUUUUGCAUAAAAGCAUCAUUAUUCAAAUCCUAUUAUUUGUAGACAAAUAGUUUUGAAUUCUAUUGGACACGGGGUAGAAACACCCAUGCUCCUAUUAACCUAGGCACAUUGAGUAGAAACAUCAAUGCUCCUACCCAGUUCAAUCCAUUCGUUUUAUUAUGAAAUUGGAAUGAGUGAGACUUUCCUUACAGCUCCACUAUCUAGUUACUCAUAAUUGUCCGUAACCGGGGACACGGCUAAGUACUUAGUUCGACACUCUUGAGAGGUGGUACACUUUACCCACAAGAAAUCGACGUGUUAAUCCCUUGCUGUCCUCAGGGUAGAGUAGCAACGGCAUCGAUUACAGGAAUUUUCAGAACAUAUUCCCCCAAACCACCUGAGGGACGCGUUCCAACCUACACUGCUAUAUACCGAUGUCACCUCGGAUCCAGGUUCAUAUUUCUUACAUCCAUCCUGGCAGAGCCCAUAAUACCAUGUGGUCGUACUGGAAGCUACUAAACAGGAAACUAGUCCAGUCUCUAGUUAUCCGGGUGGCAUCCCACAUUGUGAUGCAGGCGCUCCCCGAAUCGCACGGGGAGAAGACCAUGGACGCUCCCGAAUCACACGGAGAGACGAGUCAGCGGGCCCUAUAGAAAUGGACCUAACGUCACUACAUGCAAAAACUCAAAGCAGCCCACCCAGGACGAUUCAUUGAAUUACUUGUUUUGCCAUACACUAGGAAAAUCAUAUUGUAAUUCAAUAGUGUCACAUUGUAAUAAUACCACCCUCGUAUAUUAGCAUAGCAUAGCAUUUUACUACUACGAUGGCAAUUGGUGGUGAAGUCAUGACAAAGGGUAUCCUAUACUACUAGGACAAAUCAUAGCUAGCAUAGAUACAGUAAUAAUCCUAACAAUGCAACUAAUAAAAAAUCUAGUGCAUAAUAAAAUAAUGGAUAAAUGAUCAAAGUGAACUUGCCUUGAUAGUAGUUGGUAUUCAAACACUCUUCGCAAUCACACAGUUCGCUCUCCGAGAAAACCAUACAAUCAAGCAAACAUACACAUACAUAAACACACGAUAUAAGCAAAAGAUUAUGUAUGCUAUGAUGCAAUGCAAAACAUGUGACAUGAGUUUGGUUUAUUUUAUUUGGGUGAUCUACUGAUCCAAAGCAUUGAUAAUUAAAGGUUUAUUUUAUUAAGCACAUGCAAUUAGGGUUUUUAAGCAAAAGCAAAGGCUAGGGUUUAAACCCUAAAAUGAGGUUUUAUUGGCAUCAGCCAAAUAGAUUAAUUCAAAAUAUUUAUUUCUCUGUCACAUUGGACAGAGGACAAUAAAACAAAAUUUUGGGCACUGGUUUCACUCAAAAAGGACUUCUAGAUAAUUAGUUAUGAUUUAAAUGGCAUAAAUCCCUAUUCUGUAAUUUGAAUGUGAUUCAAAUAUUCAAAAUUGAAUUUGGACCAUGCCAAAAGAUUCUACACUUCCUAAGGAUUCCAAAAAGGUGUGGAUCAUUACAUUUGGCCAAACAGAUUUAAAGUUAUGAUCCUUUGAAGUUACAGGGGCCUAUCUGCAAAAGUGCCUUUUAAUUAAUCCGGGGGAUUAAAAUUUGAUUUUUAUUUUAUAAAAAUAGAUGCCACGUGGCGCGUUCCUAUUCAUUGGUACCGGUUCGGUUUAAGUGAAAAAGGACGAUCUAAUCUACACCGUUGAUCAACGAUCGGACGGACGAGGGGCUAGGGUUUUUACCGGGCGGCGGCGGCGGUCACCGGAGAUGGAGGGGAUGGCGGCGCGGGCACGGGCGCAGCGGCGCGGGGUGUUCCGACGAGGCUGGCAACGCGGGGAGUUCACGGGGAGGCGCGGCGCGCUCGGUGACGGGGUCGGUGUGGGCUCGGGCGGUCGGGGUCGUCGCCUAGGUCGAGGAAGACGCGGCGGCGCGGGCGGCGAACUCCGGUGAGUCUUCGGGCGCGACGGGCGGCGCGGCGGUGCACGAGAGAAGAAAUGGCGUGUGUCAAAUGAAGCGCAAGGAUGAGUAGAAGAAGAGGGGGGGAAAAAUGGCGGCGCUUACCCUUAGGGUUCACCGGCGACGAAGGAGAAAGACGGCGGCGCGGGUGUGGCGCCGGCGAAGGAUUCCGGCGGCGUGGUCGCGCGAUUGGCUGGGGAAGUAAGGGGGAAAGAGAGAGGGGGUCGCGGGGCUUAAAAGGACGCGCUCGGGGCUGCAAAAGGAAAGGCGGAGGAGGAGAUUGCGGCGGCGAGCGCGCGGGGACGGCGGCCGGGAAUCGCGGCGGCGGCGCGAGCGCAUUCCUUCGGGAACGAAAGCCCUGACAGGUGGGCCCCACCUGUCAGCGAGUGCGGGCGCGCGGGCGCGGCCGUUGGGCUGGCUGGGCGGCGGGUGCGCGCGAGGAGUUGGGCCGGUUCGGCCCAAUUCGGCCGGGCCGGUCCGCUUGCUCCUUUUUUUUUCUUUUACCCUUUUCUUUUUCUGUUUUUCUUAUUCCUUUGAUAUCUUUUGAUUUUGAACUCCAAAUUUGUCCAAAUAAAUCCCAGAAAAAUUUGUAAAAUCAUGUUCUACCAGUAGUUUCCCCUCAAAAUAAAAUAUAUAAAAAUACAUUUGCCCUAUAAAUGCCUUUAGGGUCAUAUAUCUAUUUAAAUAAAAUACUUUUCCAACUCCAAACAAUUAUCCAAAAAUUAUGGGAUAGCUUAUAUAUGCAUUAAACCUCUUUUAUGCAUAAACCCUAUUGGUUUGAAAAAUUCUAAAGCCCAAAUAGGUGUAAACAAAAUCUUUUAAAGCCUUUUGAGAUUCAAAUUCGAAUUCAAACAUGCAAUUGUGGCAUGAUGCUUAUGAAUGCAAUGCUCAUGUAAAGGUUUGAGCAAUUCCUCUGAAGUAUGCCCUAAAUGCAAUUCUUCAUUGAACAACAUUCCUCAAAUCACUACUUCACAUGCUGUGACUCAAACUGAUUUCCCUGAUUCACCCGAUAUCGCUUCUAGCUUUACUACUAUUGGUGAAUUUUACUCUGUUGUCACUAAUCCUUCACCUAGUGAUCUUUCAGUGGCUGAAGAAAAUGCUAAGUUGAAGAAGCAGACUGAGGCUGGUAUACUCAAGUGUCACCAAGGGAUUGAAACCUUGAACCAGAUUCUUGGUCUUCAAAUUCCUCGCCGACGCAAGGAUGGUAUCGGUUUUCAGAGGAAGUACAAUGUUAAUGGUGAUGCUUGGCUCCCUAAGCAAUAUCCCCCUACAAAGUUUGUCCAGGGAAGAGGGAAGUACACUGAGGUUCCUCCAUUUGUGGGAAAUCUGAAUCCCCGUAAGGAUGCUUCAAAGCGUCCCAAUAGUUCACGUGCUUACCCGAUAUUCCAUGUUGAUGAAUCUUACAUUCUGAAGAUGGGUAAGGAUAAUAAAGUGAGAGCUAAUUUCACUGGAACCAUAAUGCGUGGAGAACAUGCAAAACCUCAAAUCUGGGUGCCAAAAUCUGUCAUUACAUUUUUCCGUAAUGCCCUGUGUUCUUCAAGUUCUACUAACAUGCAGGAACCCAUGAAAACAUGGGUGCCUAAACGAGCCUAACUUUCUUCGUAGGCAUAUGCAUCUGGAGGAAGAGAAUGGGUCAUGGACUCCGGAUGUACGAAUCACAUGACCGGUGAGAAGAAAAUGUUUAGCUCUUUAGAACUUGGUCCUCAACAUCAUGAGAACAUCACUUUUGAUGACAAUGGUAAGGGAAAGGUAAUCGUUCUCGGCAAAAUUGCUAUUUCCAAGGAAAAUGACCUGGCUAUCAAUGAAGUACUUCUUGUUGAAUCACUUGGAUAUAAUCUUCUAUCAGUUGCUUAACUAUGUGAUAAUGGACUAAUCGUUUGCUUCACAAGACAAUAUGUCUAUGUUACUUCAGAAAAGGAUAACUCUUUUGUCUUCAGAGGGCGAAGAAAGGGUAACCUCUAUCUUGUAAAUUUUGAAGACUCCGCAUACUCACCCCCUACGUGUCUAGUUGCAAAAUCCUCACUAGGGUGGCUCUGGCAUAGAAGACUCGGUCAUGUGGUGUAACAUCCCAAAAUUUCAAAGUUUUACAUGAGCAUUACAUCCAUAAGCAUCAUGCCACAAUUGCAUGUUUGAAUUCAAAUUUAAAUCACAAAAGACUUUAAUAGAUUUUGUUUACACCCAUUUGAGCUUUGGAUCUUCAAACCAUUAAGGUUUCUAAAAUAAAAGUGGUUUAUUGCACAUAUGAGCUAUUCCAUAAUUUUUGGGUAAUUAUUUGGAGUUGAAAAAGUAUUUUAUUUAAAUAGAUAUAUGGCCCUAAAGGCAUUUAUAGGGCAAAUGUAUUUUUAUAUAUGACCGCCGACCGCGCCGCCCGCCCGUCUUCGUCCUAGGCGCCGACCCCGCCGUCCCUGACCGCCGCCGACCGCGCCCCCGUCUCCGCCGUGCCGCGCCGCGCCGUCCCCGGCCCUCCCCACGUCGCCCGCCCCGCCGGCGCACCGCGCGCCGCCACGCCCAUGCCCGCGCCGCCGUCCCCUCCGUCUCCGGUGACCGCAGCCGCCGCCCGGUAAAACCCUAGCCCCUCGUCCGUCCGAUCUUUGAUCAACGGUGUAGAUUAGAUCUUUCUUUGAUCACCUAGUUUAUAAAAUGAAAAUCUAAUUUUUAAUCCCCCGGAAUAAUUAAAUGGCAUUUUGCAGAUAGGCCCCUGUAACUUCAAAUGAUUAUAACUUUAAAUCUGUUUGGCCAAAUUUAAUGAUCCACACCUUUUUGAAAUCCUUAGGAAGUGUAAAAUCUUUUGGCCCUGUCCAAAUUCAAAUUUGAAUAUUUGAAUCACAAUCAAAUUACAGAUUAGGGUUUUAUGCCAUUUAAAUCAUAACUAAUUAUUUAGAAGUCCUUUUUGAAUGAAACCAGUGCCCAAAAUUUUGUUUUAAUAUCCUCUGUCCAAUGGGAGAGAGAAAUAAAUAUUUUGAAUUAAAUUGCUUUCAGAUGCAAAUAAAACCUCAUUUUAGGGUUUAAACCCUAACUUUUGCUUUUUGUUUAAAACCCUAAUUACAUGUGUUUCAUUCUCAGGGCAUUGGAUCAGUAGAUCACCCAAAUAAAAUAAACCAAACUCAUGUCACAUGUUAUGCAUUGCAUCAUGACAUACAUAUUCUUUUCCUUGUAUGGUGUGUUUAUGUAUGUGUAUGUUUGCUUGAUUGUAUAGUUUUCUCGGAGAGCGAACUGUGUGAUUGCGAAGAGUGUUUGAGUACCAACUCCUAUCAAGGCAAGUUCACUUUGACCAUCAUCUUAUUAUUUUAUUAUGCACUAGUUUUUAUUAGUUGCAUUGUUUGGAUUACUAUUGUAUCUAUGCUAUGCUAUGAUUCUCUUAAUAGUAUAGGAUACCUUUGCCAUGACCUCACCACCCAUUGCCAUCGUAGAGGUAAAAUGCUAUGCUAUGAUAAUAAACAAGGGCGGUAUUAUUACAAUGUGAUACUAUUGAAUUACAAAUAUAGUUUUCCUAGUGUAUGGCAAAACAAGUAAUUCAAUGAACCGUCCUGAGUGGGCUGCUUUGAGGAAGUGGAGAUGUAUGCAGCGUCAGGUCCAUUUCUAUGGGUCCAUUUCUAUGAAUCGUCUGGCCAUUUCUAUGGGAGCGCCUGCGUUGCAACCGAGGAAUGCCACCAAGGGUAACCAGAGACUGGACUAGUUUCCUGUUUAGUAUCUUCCAGUACAACCACAUGGUAUUAUGGGCUCUGCCGGGAUGGAUGUAAGAAAUAUGAACCCGGAUCCGAAGUGACAUCGGUAUGUAGCGGUGUAGGUGGGGGCGCGUCCCUCAGGUGGUCUGGGGGAUUAUGUUCUGAAAAUUCCUGUAGUCGAUGCCGUCGCUACUCUACCCUGAGGCCAGCAAGGGAUUAACACGUCGAUUUCUUGUGGGUAAAGUGUACCACCUCUCGAGAGUGUCAAACUAAGUACUUAACCGUGUCCCCGGUUACGGACAAUUAUGAGCAACUAGAUAUUGGGGCUGUAAGGAAAGUCUCACUCAUUCCAAUUUCCUAAUAAAAUGAAUGGUUUGAACUGGAUAGGAGCAUUGAUGUUUCUACUCAAUGUGCUUAGGCUAAUAGAAGCAUUGGGUGUUUCUACCCCGUGUCCAAUAGAAUUCAAAACUACUUGUGUAAAAAUGAUAGGAUUUGAAUAAUGAUGCUUUUAUGCAAAUAGCCAAACCCCACCUAGCCAAAUAUUACAUAUACUUGAUAGGAUCUGUUAUAUGUCUGGUGAACUUGCCAAUAUAUUCAAAUGUAUUGACCACGUAGUGGCUGCAAUUAACAAUGCAGGUGGAUCCAACGAUGAGUGAGGUUCGUCGUUUUGUUGUGGGUCAUGUGCUUACAUUCCAACAUGCUCUCACCUUGGAGUAGUGUGGCCCUUAUGUUCUACCCUUUUCCGCUGCAGUUUUGAAACCUUGUUUUAUGAUGAUGAAACAGUAUUUGUUUUAUGCUAGCCCAAGAGGUCAUGCGAGGUUGUAAGUACUAUUUAAAUUCUGGAUGAUGCGAUGUAAUAAAGUACUUUUGACCUUUGUUUCUGCAUACUUCAUCAUGAAACUGUGUGCGCUAGUGAGUCGAUCCAGGGACUAGCACAGUAAGCACAGAGAUCGAACCCUAGUAAAGGGGAGGAUCGCUUCAGAUUGUAUCAGAGCAAUGUGUUGCCUGUAGGAACGUGACCCUAGUUUGGAUUAGGAUAAGACAGACCAAAGACCAAACCUUAGGAUUAUUUCACAUGAUAUUAUGCAUCCAAUUUAUAAUUACAUUUCCACCCUUGAUAUAAAUGUUCAUCACUUGAUUCUCACUGUACCACUUUUAUUUUAUUUUAUUUUACUUACAUUCGACCAUUUGAUCAAGUCACUGAUACUCCCUUAUCUACCUUCUUUACUUUCUAUAAAUGGGAAGCCCAACACCGUUCGGCAACGUACCGCCGUUCACCCGCGUCUACUACCCCUCCACGGACGACGACCAGUUGUUCAGUGCCCCUUUUGUGGCACUGUGUGCGUUCCUCGACCUGCCACCACCCAGGUUCAGAGGCCAAGUUGAGACCGUCGCACCCGAGGGAUGACAGCCACGGUGGGAGAUCGAGGCGAAGAUCCGGGGGCGUGAGAUCGCGCCAACUACGCCGGAUAUCACCUUCAUCAGCCGCUACCCCACUUUCGAGCAGGGCCUUCAGUUCGUCAUGCAGUGCGGUUUCGCACAGGUGUGCCGGGACUAUCGGCCCGAGUUCCCCGAGGACUCCCCCUUCCUCCUCUUUGGAAGGCGGAACCAUGCAUGCUCGGCAGUGGCUACUACCAACGACGAGGAUGCAACCCCAGUGACGACCCACUUCGAGAACAUGGAGAUAAACACCGUGGACUUGGAGUCUUGCCUCGAGCAUGAGAUGACCAGGGCCGACCUAGCUGAGGAACAGGUUGGUAACCUGAUGGGAGAGAAGACCCAGUGGCUGGAGGACAAGGCCGUGUUGGAGAACACUGUCCUCAACAUGGGAGACGCCAUCGAGCAGCUGCAGUAUGAGAGGGACCAGGCUCGGUACUGUAACAGCCCGAGAGCAACUUUUACAUUUAAGCCCUCGUUUGGACCUGUUUGUAAUUUAUUUAAAUGCUGCAUGACAAUUACAUUUUCAUCCAUGCCAUGCCAUGUCUAUUAUUUGUGUCACAUGAGUUUUAAACUUGCAUCUCAAAUUGUGGUUUGAAUGCUUGUUGUGUAAUUUGGUAGAAGAUUCAAAUAUGAAUCACCCUCCUUUGAGUUUGAAUUCUUUUCCCUCUAUUUUUCAAAUGAGAUUCAAAUGGGUUUUGUUUUAAACCUUUGACCCCAUUUGAAUAUUUUCCAAAUACUAGUACCAUAUUUUUUUUCUCCUACUUCUUAGGAAUUCAAAAAGUUGUUUGAAAUUUGAAUCCAAAAACUAUUUGCAAAAACAGAAAAAGAAAAGGGAAAAGAAAACCUUACCUGCUCACUUGGCCCGAGCCAGCCCAGCAACGCGGCCCAGUUUCUCUCCUCGCGCGCGCGGCCCGCCAGCGCCCGCGGCCCAGUUUCCUUCACGCAGCACCCACGAGCCGUUUCCCCACAGCGAAAGCGCAUUCUGCGAAAUACGCCACCUCUCACACGCCCGUCUUCCUCCUCACCUUUUCUCCCUCCCGACUGGUGAGCCCCCCGGCCACGUCCUCUUCGACAGCGACAGCCACGCCUCCACGCGGCCUUUAUAAGCUGCUCCGCACCCCUCCUGCUAACCCUAGGCCAGCAAAACCCUAGCCCAGCUCCCUCUCUCUCCGCGCGGCGCCGUCGCCCGUCUUCGGCCGCGAGCUCGUCGCCGACGCGCCACCGUCUCCGGCCAAACGGCGGCAAGCCAACCGCGUCGUCAAGCGCGCCUCUCCUUCCUCUACGCGUGGGUGCAAGGAAUUGGAGCGCGGACGUCUACACCGACGCCUAAGUCGUCUUCCCCAACUCCGGCCGCCGCUCGUCUCCGGCCAAAUUCCGGCGAAACCGCUCGUCUAUUCCUCGUCAGCUUCCUCGCAUGUCACCGGGGUGAGUUGCUCUUCCUCCUGCCUCUUUCCGCGCCGUUUUUCAUGCACCCUAGCGUUGUAGCACCGCCCGCGCGCCCCACCGUGCCGCCGACGAGCUUCGUCUCGUCGCCGCGCCGUCGUCUCCUUAAGGACACUGGUGGCCUUCGUGCCACCUAGGCUAGUUGUUUCCGCGCGCUUCCGUUUUUCCGAGUUAGAGUGUCCCUUUGCCGCUAGCUUGGUCGCCGGCGUCCAUGCUCGCCGUUGCCGCCGCGCGUGCUCCCAGGCCGCCCGCUUGGGAUGGGUUAAGAGGGCUUGCGCCCUGUAUCUUGUAAGAUCCGAAUCGCAGCCCGCCUGGCCACCUCGCUCGUCCGUUCGCUCGGUCAAACCAACCCGGGUUCGAUCUCCCGUGGUCGUAGGGUAAAAACCCCACCUUUUUACUCUUUGGCCACGUCUGACAGGUGGGACCCGCUGGUCAGAGACCGCGGCAGCCAGCUCAGCGCGCCCCGCCUCGUUAGCUUGUCCGGGCCCGCUGUCAGCCACACAGGCUAGCUGCGCCCGCGUAGUUUUAGUUCUUUGCAUGUUUUCCUUUGUUGUAAAAUUCCAGAAAUUGUUUUGUCUUGUUUAAUUCCUAGAAAAUGCAUGCUAUGUCCUAUUUGGGCAAACCAUGUAUGUUUUGGAAUCAAAAAAAUGCAAGGAAUUUAACUGUGCAAUUAUAAUUACAUUUUGAGGUUUCAAAUUUCAAAUCUGUUCUAGAUUUGAAAUUCAAACGUAUGAACUUGUUUAGUCUCUAGUUAAAAAUUGGUAACUCUUCUAUGGAUAAUGUAAACAUCAAAGUUGAUCCCCUUAUCUAGUAGAACACAGUAGCAUACUUGGUUAGGCCAUUUGUGUAUUUUAAAGCUGCUGUUUACCAUGAUCUAAUCACCUAAUGGUUAACUUUGUUCCUAGAUAGAACCUUUUCACUUGCAUAUGGUCGCAUCAUGUUGUCACAUGCCAUCUCAUGUUGUAUUGUGCAUUGCACCUAUGAAGUGUUACUUAUUCGCAAAUUAUAUGAUUUGGAUCUUUACGAUAGCGACUCCGUCUUACUCCGUCGACGAUCCGGGUUCCUACACUUCUUCAGAUCCCCUCUCUCGGUGCCCAGUGACCGAGAAUCCAGGCAAGCUGAAGUGACCCCCCUUCACCAAGGGUUCGAUCUCUGUGCUUAUAGUGCUAGUUCCUGGAUCGACUCGCUAGCACACACAGUUUCAAGAUGUAAUAUCAAGAUACAAAGGUCAAAAGUAUAUUACAUCGCAUUGAUCCAGAAUUUAGUAGUAACUUACAUAUUGCAUAACCUCAUGGGUUAUCUCAAAAGAAAAGAAAAUCUUGCAGCGGAAGGCAGAAGAUACAGGAGUCCCAUAACACCUCCACAGUUGAAACAUGUUGGAAUGUAAACUCGCAACCCUAACAUUGAAUGUAUUGGCAAGUUCAUAAAAGGGUUAUAACAGAUCCUAUCAAGUAUAUGCAGAAUUUGGCUUGGUGGGGUUCAGGCUUUAUGGCGUGGUAGCAAAACAUAGUUUAUCUUACUAUAAAGAAUGAUACAUUAUUGUUAACUAAUGGACACGGGGUAGAAACACCCAUGCUCCUAUUAACCUAGAGCACAUUGAGUGGAUUACAUCAAGUGCCCCUACCCUGUUCAAACCAUUCAUUUUAUUUAAGAAGUUGGAAUGAGUGAGACUUUCUUUACAGCCCCAAUAUCUAGUUGCUCAUAAUUGUCCGUAACCGGUGAGACGGCUAAGUACUUACUUUGACAUUCUCGAGAGGUGGUACACUUUACCCACAAGAAAUCGAUGUGUUGAUCCCUUGCUGUCCUCAGGGUAGAGUAGCAAUGGCAUCGAUUACAGGAAUUUUCAGAACAUAUUCCCCCAAACCACCUGAGGGACACGUUCCAACCUACACUGCUACAUACCGAUGUCACCUCGGAUCCAGGUUCAUAUUUCUUACAUGCAUCCUGGCAGAGCCCAUAAUACCGUGUGGUUGUACUGGAAGCUACUAAACAGGAAACUAGUCCAGUCUCUGGUUAUCCCGGGUGGCAUCCCACAUUGUGACGCAGGCGCUCCCCGAAUCGCACGGGGAGACGACCAUGGACGCUCCCGAAUCACACGAAGAGAUGACUUAGCGGGCCCCAUAGAAAUGGACCUAACGUCACGACAUCCGAAAACUCAAAGCAGCCCACCCAAGACGAUUCAUUGAAUUACUUGUUUUGCCAUACACUAGGAAAAUCAUAUUGUAAUUCAAUAGUAUCACAUUGUAAUAAUACCACCCUCGUAUAUUAGCAUAGCAUAGCAAUUUACUACUACGAUGGCAAUUGGUGGUAAGGUCAUGGCAAAGGUAUCCUAUACUACUAGGACAGAUCAUAGUAAGCAUAGAUACAAUAAUAAUCCUAACAAUGCAAUUAAUAAAAUCUAGUGCAUAAUAAAAUAAUAGGAUGAUGGUCAAAGUGAACUUGCAUGAUUAGUGUCUUUGUAUUCUUCUUUUUGAUACUCAUAGUUACCGCACUCUGUAUAAUCUAUCACGAAGAACGAAAAUCAAUAAUAAAUAACCAUUCGACAACUCCAAAUAAAUAACCAAAGCAAUAUACAAAGUUUAAAUUAAAUAGUACCUAACUACAGUUAGGUUGUCCUAGGCACAAAUCUAAGAGGUAGGAACAAGGCUUGGGUUCUAUCAGAGUUGAAACGGUGAAGUCAUUGGCUGUUAACAGAUACAAUUUUCCAGGAGUCAUGGGCUAUGGUAGAUGAACUUAAAAAGGUGCACAAAGUGGUCCAGAAAUUAGAGUUUGGUGUACUCUUGUCACAACAGAAAGAAUGAACUGGUUUGAAAAUAUGUAUCAACAUGUAUGGGCUUUGAAACAUUGCUAAUCAAUAAGACAGUGUUAAUAGAUACAAAGUUUGGUUGGGCAUGGACUAGUGUGGCUAAGUCCAGGAUUUAAGUCUAUAGGAACUGUUACAACUUAGAUACUUUGGCUGUUUGACAAAUGGUGCUAAAUGGCAGAACAUGGGAUGAAAAGUAUACUACUGUAUAGUAUAUUGAUUUUACUUGCUAACCCCACAAGUCUCAUCCCAAAAGGAUCUACAGAGAAUUAGCUACUGGCUUGCAAAGCUGGCUAGUCUGAUUCUGAUAGAUUAAAGAUACUAACUUCUACUGAAAAUGUGCUGGUGCUAAUGGCUUCAAAAGACAGAGGGCCAAUGGGAUAAAUUAAACCAGAUCUAACAAGAUUUCAAAAUCCACUGGUAAAACCUAAAUAGGAGUUGUGAGCCAAAAUAAACAGGUUUACAAAAAGGGCUAAUCUAUAACAAAGUUUCUGUAACUAAAGGCUUAGAAUUGGCCAAGUGUGGAAAACUGCUGAAGGUACUGUUUUGCAAUGACGAUGCACUAGUGUGAAUGAACUUGGAAAGGUUUUAAAAUAGGUCCAGGAUGUAGAUUUGGAUUUUAUCUUGACAUGACAGAAAGAAUAAUUUAAUUUGAAGUAAUGGAUCAAAAGAUAUAGGCUCCGGAAGAUAGCUAACUGAUGUGACAGUGUUAACAGAUACGACAUUUGAUUGAAGAUGCACCUCCGUAGAUGAAUCCUAAGUUGUGCAAGGUGUACACUAAUGUGUAGAACAUGAUCUAAUUGAUGAACUACAGAAGUCUUGGAACGAAACGGAUCAAUGGAACAAUUUAUAUUAAUUUCGAAAGUUGGCUAAUCCAGAAACAGCAUACUGUGAAUAGCAAUUUCCAAUGAAGAUGCCGUACUGAAGAUCAUGGAGACGGGGUAUACAAUCUGGUCUGGUCUAGAGAGGUGGAUGUGGUCUAACUACAACAGAAAGAUUCGGCCAAAAAUAAUACACUGAUCAAAAGAUAUGGGCUUCUAAACAUGGCUAAUCAAAACUGCUGCGGCUGAAAAGUUGCUCACCGGAAAAGACACGGAGUUCGCCGGAGUUGAAGGAGGAUGGUGAUGAUGUCGACAUAGGGUUCGAUGGGGCACUAGAAGACGUCAAGGCAGACACCGUGAUGCGGUUUUCGGGGUCGAGGGCGUCUCCGGACGGCGACGGGCGGAGCUCCGGGCGCGGCUUUGGCAUGGGAUCGGGGACGGCGCGGCCAACGGCGUCAAGAGGUCACGAAACCUUGUCACAAGGGUAGGUAAGGGUCACAGGAGCCUACCGGUGAAAGGAAUCGAAGAACGGAGAUUCGGAGUGAUCUCACCGGCAACAAUGGUGGCGGUGACCGGCGGAGGAAGACGUCAACGUAGCCGGCUGUACAGAAGUUUUGAGGCCAAACUUUGUACAUAGGAAUGGGAGAGGAGAGGCAAAGGCUCAAAGUGACGCGCGUGGAAUCCUUUUACAGUGGCCGAGGAGGGAGAUCGGGCGCGGAUGUCGACGGCCGACAUUCGGGGCACCUUUUUUGGAAACUGCGAUUAUGAGAGGAAAUUUCAAAUUGAUUUCCUGAAUAGAUUCCCGGGAUGGUGAGGAUUGAUGGGGUGGUUUUUUUUCGGAGAGAGAUGCGCGGGAAAGAAAGAAAUCGAAGAAAGAAAAUAUGGAAGGAGAGGAUUUCUUACGUGCACAGGAGGAAGAACACGAGCUCGUGCUCGUGCUCGUGCUCGCUCGGUGGAGAUGGGCCGGCCCAGUUGGGUCAGUCCAUUCUUUUGUUUUUCUUUUCUUUUUUUUUCCAUUUAUGUUUUUAUUAAUAACUUUUGAUUCCUAACUCCAAAUAAGUCCAAAUAAACUCCAGUAAAUUUGUAAAUUUAAAUCCUCCAAAGUGUGAACUUUUGGGACUCGAAUCCUUUCAAAAUAAAAUAAGUAAAAAUACUUUUGCUUAUAUAAAUGUCAUUAGGGCUUUAUAAGUAAUACAUAAAAUAGGUUUUGAAAUCUAUUAUGAAACCUUUGUUUCAUAAAUUAUUUUAAACUCCAACAAAAUAUUGGGUUGGCAUACUUUGCACUAAAACCCUUUCUUAGAUAAAUACCCCAUUUGUUUGAACUCCAAAUAAAAUCUCAUAUUAAUUACAUGGUUCACAAAAUUCCCAAAUAGCUUUAUAACACCAAAUCACAAAUCAUGUAAACCAUCACAGAUGUUUCCAACUAUAUAUGUUUGGGAAGUCACGUUAUCUCACUCUCAACAAUGGAAUAAAUGUUGGAAUAACAUUUGCACAUGAGGAUGUCACGUUAUCCUCUUCUCGAAUAUUUGAUAACUUCUUUUCGAAAACAAAAUUAACAUGUCAAAAUAAAAAUCGAGAAAACAUAGGUGCAUCAUUAAAUAUGUUUCCAACCUUAUAACUAGGAAAGUCAUAUUAUUCCCUCUCGUUAUCCUUUAGAUAAAUGUUGGAGAACAUUUCUGAUAAAUUUAAAUAUUCCAACGAUGCUCUCAAAUGGUCAUGGCAUCCAAAUUGGAAACUUAGUGUGUUAGUAAAUCCUUCAAAUAGGACAUAGGAUUUAUUUGGAUGCAAAGAAUAAUCCGGUGGAAAUCAUAAGAUGCAUAUGGGUUCAAAAUAGAAUAACUUUGAACUUACAUAAAUGUCCGAACCAUGUUGUAUAAUUUGGAUAGUCAUAUUAAUCCACUCUUUUGUUGAAUAUUCAAACAUGGUGUGGAAAAAUUUAAAUAAGUCCUAAAAAUUUCAAAUCCUUCGGAAAUUCACAACCAAAAUAUUUCCGAAGCCAAUAUUUUCAUUAAAAUAAUUAUUUUAUUUAACAUUCCAGAAUUGGAAAAUUCUGGGAUGUUACACAAGCAGCCAUUCCUUGAACAUGUUGUUUGUACCAAUGCCUCUCUCUCAUUCUUGCAUUAAGUUACGUUCUUAGUUCUUGUCACGAUGCCUCUAGGAUUGCAUAGUUUUAGUCAGCUCUACUAAAAAUGCCUGUCGUCUUGUUCCUUAUCCUAUUACCAUGUCACAUGUUGUUUUGCCCUAGUUGGUCACUAGAAGUCUUGCUUAGAUUGCUCGUCUAGUGUCCUUACUUGGGGUUAUACAACUGCUACAUCCACAUGCCAAUUUUCUGUAUUUAAUUGCAAUUAUUAAACUAUGACCUGUUAUUACCUACACAAGGCAACGAUGGGAGGCCAUGCUAACGCAUUGGUGUUUUGUUCCAUUGGCGCCGACCUAAGGACUGAGUUCUCGUUUUCGCCGACCCAAGAAACUUCGCGCUAACCGCUCGUGGGAGAAUAUAUGAGUUCCCCCUCGGCUUAGUACUCGUUUCAUAGCUCUUUCAGGGGCCACAUAGUUCGGGCAUUCCUUUUGGCAUAUCGCAUAUACACUGGUGUUGUUUGGAGACUUGUUGUUACUUUGCAUACAUAUAGGACUGCAGCACUAGUCUGGAGUGGUCAUUCUGCGGACACUGAACCACUACCAGCUGUCCACGCAACUCUUGAGUCCGUACGACGCUUCGGCUGGGCUCUCGUUUCGGAUUAGACUCAGUUGGGUGGUCCCCUGGAUUAGUUGUGGGGCUUGGAAACGUCGUGUCGCUCAAUCCUGCCGGCACAUGCUUUUGCGUGUGUUCCAUGCUAGUGGCAUCAAGGGUUGGACGAACGUGCACGGGUAAAUUGGCACACCCUGCAGGGAUAAAUCUUUCAGAAAGCCGUGUCCGCGGUUAUGGACGACUUGAUUGGUCAUUACUUGAUCAUAGAGAACUCAUACCUUUUAAUUAACUUAAUCUCUUAAGACUUGAGUAGUAAUUAGCCUGAAUCAUGGAUAUGCUUAAAACUGCUUAAGUGUGAGUGCCUUUGGAUCAUUUCCUCACAAGGGGUUGAGGGGGUGAUAAGAGGUUGUGUUCUGUUUGGUGUUAGUUGAUAGAAGAUCACCUCACUUGGUAGACGCUCCUUAUCUUCUAUCUAGACGAUGUCAUUAGUGUGUCUCUCCAGAUAUAUAUCGCUACUGCAUAACCCACCUUUUACCCAUCCUUUGAGACUUGUUGCAUAUCUAGUAUAGAUCUCCCGUAAGUCCUGCGAGUACUUUGUACUCAGGUUGCUUUGCAACGUUGUUUUCCCCAGAGUUUCCGGAGGAACAGGUGAGUGGUUACUUCGUGGAGUUUGACGACUAAAGCUUCGACGUUUAGCCAGAAGAUUCCAGAGCAGGGUUCUGAGAACUUGUGGCAGCUCUCCUUUUCAGUUUCAGCCUUUUAGGCACUAUUUGUAAUUUGUCCGUACUCGGGCAUAAUUUGCUUCCACUGGUGUAAUGAUGAUUGUGGACAUGUGUCCGUGAGUUGUAAUAACUUGGUAUUUUGCUCCAUGUAUGAGCUUGACUUCAUUCUUGUGUCUUAGAGUGAUGUAAUGAUAUCAUUGUUGUUCUAACCUGCGGUGAACACCUUGCGUGUAUGUUGUGAAGUGUUCGUCGUAGGGAGGCACUGGGACUUGAUUUAUGCGCGAGUUAGCAUUUGGGGCUAAAUUGCAUAAAUUCAGUCUCAGGGUUUCACAGCUACUACUGCGAGCAGUUCCAGGCGUUCAUCGCAGCCGCAGCAGCACCAGCUGCCGCACCGGCGCCUGUUCAGUUCCCACCUCCACCACAGGAUCAGGAGAUGGAGCCCAGGAGGAGCCCCAGGAGGUCCACGAGAUGGACACCCCUGCUACAAACACCCGCUCCAAUUCUUCCACCAUGCAACAGUUAUUGGCCGCCCAGACCCAAUUCUUCCAGAUGAUCACCCAACAGUUGGCCAACAACAACAACAACAACUAGCAGAACCACAACAACCAGCAACACCACCCACCUCAAGUGGAUAUGCUGACCAGAUUUCUGCGUUUGCGCCCGCCCACUUUUUCCAGCUCCACUGAACCUAUUAUGGCUGACGGUUGGCUCCGGUCAGUCAACAAGAACUUGGUCACCAUCAACUACACUGAACAAGAGAAAGUGCGGUUUGCAGCUCAUCUGCUAGAAGGACCCGCAGCAUCUUGGUGGGAGAAUUUUCAGAUUACCACCCCCAUCGAGGAUGUCACCUGGGACAUGUUCCAGGAAGCCUUUCGCACUGCCCACAUCUCUGCGGGAGUGCUCAACUUGAAGAUGAAAGAAUUUCACAGGCUGCGACAGGGAAGCCGCUCUGUGUCAGAAUAUAUAGAGGUUUUCAACCAACUGUCCCGCUAUGCACCGGACGAUGUGAACACCGACGCCAAGCGCAGGGAGAAGUUUUUGGACGGUCUGAACGACGAGCUAUCGGUUCAACUUGCUAUUGUUUACACCCCCACUUACCAGUUUUUGAUUGACAAAGCCAUCAUUCUGGAGAGUAACCUCACUCAGUUGGAGAACCGCAAGAAGAGAUUUCACCAAGGAGGCUCUCACACUGGACCGCACCAGAAGCAACGCACCUCCUAUGAUGGAAAUGGCAGUUCCUCCUUGAGCAGAAAUGGGAACCAAAGCAACCACCGCACUGGAAGUAAUAGUCACAACCACCGCCAGGGAAACCAAGGACACCAUCACCAGGGUGGCAAUGUGAACCGGCACCAUCAGCAACACCAGCAGCAGCAUCAGUUCGCUCGCCCAAGACCCAUCAAUGGCAAUGGCAAUGGCAGGAACAACGGCAAUGGCCAGAACAACAAUGGUCAGAACCACAAUGCCAACAAAGACAUGAGCAAGUGUAACGACCCGAACCCGGUAAGGUUCGAAUCUCUGUGCUCACAGCGCUAUCCCUAGAUCAUAGCUAGCACACACAGUAACAAGUGGAUACCAAGAAAACAUAUAUCAUCUUUAUUAAUCAACGACAAAUCCAGAGUUUUAAUUAUUACAAUCUGCACAGCUAUAGUGACUGGCUCACUUUACAACGGAAGCAAAAUAAAGCAAAUAAAACUUGGGCUCCAUCAACACCACAUGGCUUUAUUGAGUAUAGGCCCCGUGAACCCUAAGUCUUCACUCGUCAUCUGCACGUGAUAUGUAGCAGGCGAGUACAUGGAAUGUACUCGCAAGUUGCCAAGGGAAGUAUAACAAAUGUAUAUGCAUGGAUAAGGAAGAGAUGACUGAGGGGUUCUGUUGCAUAAAGCCAAUUUUCUUUCGCAAACAUUUUCAAAAGCUUUUUUUUUAAGGAUUUCUUAAGUCAAAAUAAUCUUCCCAUGGUACAUCCCCAUGUCAAAAUACGAGCUAAACUGACUCCAGCCAAUCACUGGGUAGAGCCAGCUGCUUAGGCUUUUCGGGCAACCGCUAGUCAGAUGACGUAACUUGCCAAAACCUUUUUUUUUAAAACAUUUUGAAAACAGAGGAGAUCCUUCACUGGCUUCGAAUCUUCAGUCGCUCAAAUUGCUCAUAACCGGGAGCACGGCUAAUCGAUUAGAUUUCACUCUGCAGAGGUUGUACACUUUUCCCACAUGACACAAUCAGUCCAAAGUGUUGCCUAACGACAAGCGUGCGCAACAGGUAAAGAUUGUGCCGAGGUCUUUUGAUGGAGUCCCCCGUACAUAAUGCCAGCACGCCCACGACCCUGAUCCGAAGAACGCUCUCCUAGGGCCAUGCCAAUGCACGAGUUCUCAUCCACCUACUUGACCAAGCCAGAGCCCAUGUAGCAUGUGGUUGUACAUGAAGCUUCUGGUAAUGAAACUUAAAAGGUUCUCUUUGUUCCUGGGCAGCGGUCCCCACCAAAAUCCUGAGCAUCCGCAGAGCCAAUCACUAGAUGCAGCUCUUGUAGACACCAAUCACUGGUGGCUCUUGUCAUACCACUCCGCCUAGAGAAAAACAUUUUGGGUUUUGUUUUAGAAAAUACUUUUCACAAAACUGCCCCAUAAUGGGCUCAUAAUUUCAUAAAACAAUUUUAUUCAAAACCCCAUAAUCCCUUAUGCAACCACUGCUAAGUAUAUAUAUUUUGUGAAGUAGAUAAUAGGGCUACAAGGAUAAAUGGCAAGAACCUAUGGUUCACUACUAGGAUAUAAAAGCAUAUAGCAUUUUCCUACACAUGCAUUUCUAAGAAAAUAAGUAAAACAUGCUUAGGAAAAUAAUGGGAUAAAUAUGGUCAAAGCAACUUGCCUUCUGAGUACUCGCAGCAAGAAUCACACUCCUGAUAGCACUCCGCGUCACACUCCGUGCAAUCUAACGUUAAAAGAAGCGAUACCGAAAUAAAUAAACAACUCCACAAGAACACAAGUGCAAGAUGUCGGUAUGCAUGCAUGAAACUCCAAACCAUUGUAAACACGUUCGAGUGCAAAGGUACUACUAAAGAAAAACUCCAAAACCAACAUAAGCAUAGUAAUAAUAAUUUGAUGGUUUCUCAACUACACCUAUUUAAUCUAAGCUUAGACCAACUUACUGUUCCAAUGUCUAAACAAGUGCUAGCAAAUUUUAUUGAAGAUUUACUGUUGCUAAAUAUCUUCACCGAGAGUUACACCAAAAAGGGGUUUGGUUUUAACUAGGUUAUGGGCAGAUUAGGCCGAAACUUAACCUGUAAUUACCACUGCAGAAAGUUUUUAGAAACUAGAAUCUAACAGGUUCAUUAAAUCCUACACGUUCUAGGCUUUCCAGAAAGGUGUAACUUGCAAAGUUUGGAUUAACAAAUCAAAAGAUAUGCUUUUCAGAAGUUGACUAACCUAUACUAGAGGUGCUGUGAAUACAGUUUUCCAAAGAUCAUAUACUGGUGUGAACCGAUCUGAUAUUGUGCAACAAGUGAACUAAUGUUUGGACAAAGAUCUAUUCUACGCUCUAAAGGAGGUUUUACGCCAGCAGGUUCUACAAAACAGUCUAUACGAAUUCUAGAAGGUGACUACUCCAGAAGACACAUGCUGUGGAUAGCUAAUACCAACGAAGAUGCACUACAGGAGAUCAUGGAUACGGGGUAUCCCUAGUGAACUAAUCUGUAGAUAAAUGUUUGCCCUAACAAUAGCAGAAAGAAUUGGCUAAAAAUGUUCUACGGUUCAAAAGUUACAAGCUAUCGAAAAAGGCUAAUCAAAACUGCUCGUGCUGAGUGUUUCUCACCGGAGGAAGUCCGCCGGAGUUGAGGAAAACAGCGUGGGAAUAGGGCAGUGCUUGGGCGUAGCCCGUGGGGUGGCGAGGUGAGAAGAAAGGAGGACCUGGGCGCCUUUUAUAGGGGAAGGGGAGAGCAGGGUCAAGAGAUUAUCUCGUCGGAAUCAAUGGCUCUAGCCAUUAAUGGAGAGGAGAACUGUGGGGAGACCAUUGGGCUGUAAUUUGGGAAACUGAGGAGGGGAUUGGGGAGAGGAGGCUCGUGGGAUUCGAUUCAGAGCACCUGGACGGGGAACGGUGAGGGCAGGUGAGGGGAGCCGGAGGAGAUUGCGCCGGCGACGGCGUUGUGCCUGUGUCUGUUCGUGUUCGUGCAGAAGGAGGAAGACGAGCACCUGUGGGGGUUGGGCUGGGCUGUGGCGCUCGGGGAGAG
rnacentral:lncRNA from 1 species